CCCCUGAGUGCUGAUGCUGGUGGGCGGGAGAGGAAAUGGAAUUCCCUAGGCCGCCCGGCGCGCGCUGACACGGCCCUCUCCUCGGCGUCCAAUCGGGGAGGUGCUGUGGGAGGGGCUGACUGUGUGCCUUAGUCGAGGUGGAGCGGGUUCCCGGCUUCCGCUGGCCCAGGUGGUGGAGAUUUCUUCCCGUGCUCCGCGGAGAGGAAGCCAGGGUGCAGUGAUUAGUUGGGAACACUGGACCUUACCAAUCAGGAACUUACAAGGUAUAGGGAGGACAAUGAAGAAAAGUUUCAAAGAAACCAAUUCCUGUCACCUUAAUCUAACAAGUUUCAACAUAAAAGUACACUGAAACUUUACUGCUAUGCAAUAAAGCAAAGCAAAUGGACAAA